rnacentral:rRNA from 1 species
GUGCCAGCCGCCGCGUAAUUCCAGCUCCAAUAGCGUAUAUUAAAGUUGUUGUGGUUAAAAAGCUCGUAGUUGAACCUUGGGCCUGGCUGGCCGGUCCGCCUCACCGCGUGCACUGGUCCGGCCGGGCCUUUCCCUCUGUGGAACCCCAUACCCCUCACUGGGCGUGGCGGGGAAACAGGACAUUUACUUUGAAAAAAUUAGAGUGCUCCAGGCAGGCCUAUGCUCGAAUACAUUAGCAUGGAAUAAUAAAAUAGGACGCGCGGUUCUAUUUUGUUGGUUUAUAGGACCGCCGUAAUGAUUAAUAGGGACAGUCGGGGGCAUCAGUAUUCAACUGUCAGAGGUGAAAUUCUUGGAUCAGUUGAAGGCUAACUACUGCGAAAGCAUUUGCCAAGGAUGUUUUCAUUAAUCAGGAACGAAAGUUAGGGGAUCGAAGACGAUCAGAUACCGUCGUAGUCUUAACCAUAAACUAUGCCGACUAGGGAUCGGACGGUGUUAUUCAUGACCCGUUCGGCACCUUACGAGAAAUCAAAGUGCUUGGGCUCCAGGGGGAGUAUGGUCGCAAGGCUGAAACUUAAAGAAAUUGACGGAAGGGCACCACCAGGGGUGGAGCCUGCGCCUUAAUUUGACUCAACACGGGGAAACUCACCAGGUCCAGACACAAUAAGGAUUGACAGAUUGAGAGCUCUUUCUUGAUUUUGUGGGUGGUGGUGCAUGGCCCGUUCUUAGUUUGGUGGGGGUGACUUGUC